rnacentral:rRNA from 1 species
GACGAACGCUGGCGGCGUGCUUAACACAUGCAAGUCGAACGGAAAGGCCCUGCAUUUGUGGGGUGCUCGAGUGGCGAACGGGUGAGUAACACGUGAGUAACCUGCCCUUGACUUUGGGAUAACUUCAGGAAACUGGGGCUAAUACCGGAUAUGAGCUCCUGCUGCAUGGUGGGGGUUGGAAAGUUUCGGCGGUUGGGGAUGGACUCGCGGCUUAUCAGCUUGUUGGUGGGGUAGUGGCUUACCAAGGCUUUGACGGGUAGCCGGCCUGAGAGGGUGACCGGCCACAUUGGGACUGAGAUACGGGCCAGACUCCUACGGGAGGCAGCAGUGGGGAAUAUUGCACAAUGGGCGGAAGCCUGAUGCAGCAACGCCGCGUGCGGGAUGACGGCCUUCGGGUUGUAAACCGCUUUCGCCUGUGACGAAGCGUGAGUGACGGUAAUGGGUAAAGAAGCACCGGCUAACUACGUG